rnacentral:rRNA from 1 species
UGAGGGAAAGUUGCAAAGCACUUUGAAGAGAGAGUUAAAGAGGACGUGAAACCGAUGAGGUGGAAACGGAUAGAGCCAGCGUAUCUGACCUGUAUUCAUCCGCAUCCUUUGUCGCGCUAGGGUUGUCCGCUCUCCAGAUUGGGACGGCGUCUGGGCUGCAUGACAUUGGUUGUGGUGCAUUUGCAGGUGGUGUGCGCCGAGACUCCCGUGUUGGCUGCAUGAUCUUGGUGUUGAGGCCAGCUUGCUGGUACCCACCCCAGGGGAGUGUUGUUCAGCAUGAGUGUACAUUUUGGGCAUGGCUUACGAGCUAGGGUUGGGCCAAGCUGGAAGUCAGUGGCGGUCGCAUGCGACACGUGCUGUGCAACCAGUUCGGUCCUGCUCUCGGCUCUCGUGCCCGCUCUCGGUGUAAAAGCUGGUCAUCUAUCCGACCCGUCUUGAAACACGGACCAAGGAGUUUAUCGUGUGCGCAAGUCAUUGGGCGUUCAAAACCCAAAGGCGCAAUGAAAGUGAAUGUAUCCGCAAGGAGCUGACGUGCGAUCCUGGGCAUCACGGUGCCCGGGCGCAGCAUGGCCCCAUCCCGACUGCGUGCAGUGGGGUGGCGGUAGAGCGUACGCGAUGAGACCCGAAAGAUGGUGAACUAUUCCUGAGCAGGAUGAAGCCAGAGGAAACUCUGGUGGAAGUCCGAAGCGAUUCUGACGUGCAAAUCGAUCGUC